UACGUAGGGUGCAAGCGUUGUCCGGAAUUAUUGGGCGUAAAGAGCUCGUAGGCGGUUUGUCGCGUCUGCUGUGAAAACUCAGGGCUUAACCCUGAGCCUGCAGUGGGUACGGGCAGACUAGAGUGUGGUAGGGGAGAUCGGAAUUCCUGGUGUAGCGGUGGAAUGCGCAGAUAUCAGGAGGAACACCAGUGGCGAAGGCGGAUCUCUGGGCCAUAACUGACGCUGAAGAGCGAAAGCAUGGGGAGCGAACAGG
rnacentral:rRNA from 1 species